rnacentral:lncRNA from 1 species
UUUAUCGGUCACGAUCGCCUUUCCUCUGGCUCGAGAAACAUUCUUCGUGUGCGAAAACAAAGCAGCGGGGACAGCAUCGAUAAUGAGCUCCGAUAAGUUUAAUACGAGGGUCUAUUCGCGAUCGCCUAAUUGUCACGGGUGCGCACGUCUCCGGAAUUGCUUCGGAGUAUUCCGAGGCCCUUUUUCCGGCUCGCCGGUACUGCGGUUCCAUUUUCGAUUCCCUCCGCCGUCGCAGUCCUUAAUUUUCGCCCUCUCCGCAUUCGAUCAUUCCCAAGUUCGCAUGCUCCGCUGAGGAGGCUCGUCGCCCUGCAACAUUUCCUCCCGAAUUCGAACGCGUGUCUUCUGCGAGCCGCGAUCCCGGUCGGCCUCGAUCGAGUCAAUUUUCCUCCGGGAAUGCCCCGUCUUUCGUCGCUCGAAAAUACAGUCGGAUCUCUGCCUCGGCACAUCGAUAUAAGCUCCCGACGAAUAUACGCACCUGUGCGGAAUGUACACGCGCGUCCAGUCCCAGGGUCAGGCGAGCACUGAGCGAAAAAAUUCUUUCAUCCGAGCGAACAUUCUGUUGGAGCAGCGAAUCCCAGGCUGAUCGAUCACCCCAAAAACUUUUGUUCAUUCAACCGUGUUUUCUUCGUUGGAAGAAUUACUCGUUCGAGCCAUCGAAUUCAGCGUUUUUAUAACCCAAACUUUUAGUUGAGUCAACGACUUUUAUUUCCGCUCUGAUUCCCAUCGAUCCAGCCAACAUUUUCAUUCAUCAAGAAAUACUUCUCUCAGGAGCAAGAAGCUCGAAAAUUUGCAUCGCGCGUGCAACACCCACAACCGCUUCUCCGUCUCAUUCGGCCGGCCAAAACCCCGCGACGCUUCGCAGCCUCACCUUUGCACGUUGUACGAACAUUUUCAAAAUCCCACUCAACACCCCGAUCAAUAAUUGUGCGUCGGCGAUAAUGCCGCCUCUUAACAGUCCCCUCGAAAAAGUCUCUCAUGCACCCAAAAUUCGGGCUUUCUCCACAGCGACCCGAGGUUUCAUACACGCCGAAUAAAUAUUGUUCCCGUACAUAAUUGUUUACCUGUGUAUAUAUUUCACACGUUAUCUCUCGGACAGAGAACAGCGUAUCGGGAAACAACGUACACGCCUGCCUGUUCUCCAUGCGCCUCGAUACACGUUUGUCCCAUAUAUAAACAUAAAUAUGAGCACACUUUCAGCUGACACACACGCGCGCGCGCUCGUGUCACUUCAUUCUCGCACUUGAGGCAAAACCCACGGAGCGUACGCUCGAAUCGUCCGGCUAUCGAUCCACGAGAGCCUUCCUUCUCGCUUUGUGCGCUCUCGCACCAACACUUUUGACAGAGACUGAAGAAUAGGAUGUAUAAUAAAAGGAGAAUUUCUUGUACAGCUCUGUGGAAAUAUGUAAGCAACGAUCCUUUUUUGCAUCGAGAAACAGAAGCUUUACGAAAAAUUCCUGCCUGCAUGGGAAUUCGAUACCGAUCUGCUACCUACCUACAGACAUCUUUCUAAUGCGGCUGUUUAGUCGUCGUGGCUGCUACGUGACGAAGAUGACGGAGUUGGAAGGAAAUCUGGUCAUGGCCGAAUAACGAUCAUUCGCAAACCGCCGCGAGGAUAAAUCAUUAAUGAAAAUCUUCAGGUCUCUCGGCUUUGAUGAAAAUUACCAGAGACGCGACAUCGCGUUAAAUGCCAGUUGAGAUAUUUCCUGAAGUGCAAUUCACUUAUGAACCUCCACGACGUCGAUUGCUGUCGUGCUUUUCAACAUUUACGUUGAUCUCGAGACCCCAGCACACUUCCUGUUCUCUUCGCGUAAAGCUCCCUCAUCUUGUAAGCCUCUGACUCUCGUGCGGAAUGGGAUGCGGAGGAUCGAGUGUGCUGCCUUAACGAAGGCCGGCAGCAUGGUGAUUUCGUGUAAUGUACUUCGUACUCUUAUUCACCGGAGCAUUUUUUUAUGACGAGACUUGUACGCGGUGAAAAAAUCUCUCUGUUUUUUUCUUGAUAACGUCAAAAUGUUCGUUUAUUAAAAUCUGAAUAUUUUUAUCGAGUUUAUCAAAUCGCUGGGAAAAGAAGGAAUAAAAUCGUGGCCGGUUGUUCCGAUCCCCCAUGAAAAGGAUUUAUAUUUAAUAUUGUAUGAAAAGUCUAUUCGACAUAUGUAAAAAAAUAUAUUUUUACGAAUAUA